rnacentral:rRNA from 1 species
CAGAGCGAACGCUGGCGGCAGGCCUAACACAUGCAAGUCGAACGGAUCCUUCGGGAUUAGUGGCGGACGGGUGAGUAACACGUGGGAACGUGCCCUUUGGUUCGGAACAACUCAGGGAAACUUGAGCUAAUACCGGAUGUGCCCUUCGGGGGAAAGAUUUAUCGCCAUUGGAGCGGCCCGCGUCUGAUUAGCUAGUUGGUGAGGUAAAGGCUCACCAAGGCGACGAUCAGUAGCUGGUCUGAGAGGAUGAUCAGCCACAUUGGGACUGAGACACGGCCCAAACUCCUACGGGAGGCAGCAGUGGGGAAUCUUGCGCAAUGGGCGAAAGCCUGACGCAGCCAUGCCGCGUGAAUGAUGAAGGUCUUAGGAUUGUAAAAUUCUUUCACCGGGGACGAUAAUGACGGUACCCGGAGAAGAAGCCCCGGCUAACUUCGUGCCAGCAGCCGCGGUAAUACGAAGGGGGCUAGCGUUGCUCGGAAUUACUGGGCGUAAAGGGAGCGUAGGCGGACUGUUUAGUCAGAGGUGAAAGCCCAGGGCUCAACCUUGGAAUUGCCUUUGAUACUGGCAGUCUUGAGUACGGAAGAGGUAUGUGGAACUCCGAGUGUAGAGGUGAAAUUCGUAGAUAUUCGGAAGAACACCAGUGGCGAAGGCGACAUACUGGUCCGUUACUGACGCUGAGGCUCGAAAGCGUGGGGAGCAAACAGGAUUAGAUACCCUGGUAGUCCACGCCGUAAACGAUGAGUGCUAGUUGUCGGCAUGCAUGCAUGUCGGUGACGCAGCUAACGC